rnacentral:rRNA from 1 species
GAACGCUGGCGGCAUGCCUAACACAUGCAAGUCGAACGGCAGCACAGUGGUAGCAAUACCAUGGGUGGCGAGUGGCGGACGGGUGAGUAAUGCAUCGGGACCUACCCAGACGUGGGGGAUAACGUAGGGAAACUUACGCUAAUACCGCAUACGUCCUACGGGAGAAAGCGGGGGAUCUUCGGACCUCGCGCGGUUGGACGGACCGAUGUUCGAUUAGCUAGUUGGUAGGGUAAUGGCCUACCAAGGCGACGAUCGAUAGCUGGUCUGAGAGGAUGAUCAGCCACACUGGAACUGAGACACGGUCCAGACUCCUACGGGAGGCAGCAGUGGGGAAUAUUGGACAAUGGGCGCAAGCCUGAUCCAGCAAUGCCGCGUGUGUGAAGAAGGCCUUCGGGUUGUAAAGCACUUUUAUCGGGAGCGAAAUACCAUUGGCUAAUAACCGAUGGGGCUGACGGUACCCGAGGAAUAAGCACCGGCUAACUUCGUGCCAGCAGCCGCGGUAAUACGAAGGGUGCAAGCGUUAAUCGGAAUUACUGGGCGUAAAGGGUGCGUAGGCGGUUUGUUAAGUCUGUCGUGAAAUCCCCGGGCUCAACCUGGGAAUGGCGAUGGAUACUGGCAAGCUAGAGUGUGUCAGAGGAUGGUGGAAUUUCCGGUGUAGCGGUGAAAUGCGUAGAGAUCGGAAGGAACAUCAGUGGCGAAGGCGGCCAUCUGGGACAACACUGACGCUGAAGCACGAAAGCGUGGGGAGCAAACAGGAUUAGGUACCCUGGUAGUCCACGCCCUAAACGAUGCGAACUGGAUGUUGGUCUCAACUCGGAGAUCAGUGUCGCGGUCGUUUAUGUUCAA